GUGUUGUCUUUCUUUGGUGUAUUGAUUCCAACCAGCUUAAGAAUCUUAGAAUCACUCCUGCAGUCAUUGCAAAGCAUAACACAGUUCAGGUGCAAGACGGACAAGACGUGAUCGUAUCGUUGUAGAACGAUGAGAACGAAACACAACAAUUAGGAUUUUUUCUGGCCAAAAACUGAGAAUGGAGGACUGUAAUGAACGUGUUCUUACUCAGAGCUUGAGUUUUGCGACGGCGGUCGGGUGUGAGGAAGGUGGUGGAAGGCACGACCUUGG